UACGGGAGGCAGCAGUGGGGAAUAUUGCACAAUGGGCGCAAGCCUGAUGCAGCCAUGCCGCGUGUAUGAAAAAGGCCUUCGGGUUGUAAAGUACUUUCAGUCGUGAGGAAGGUGUUAAGGUUAAUAACCUUAGCAAUUGACGUUAGCGACAGAAGAAGCACCGGCUAACUCCGUGCCAGCAGCCGCGGUAAUACGGAGGGUGCGAGCGUUAAUCGGAAUUACUGGGCGUAAAGGGCACGCAGGCGGUUAAUUAAGUUGGAUGUGAAAUCCCCGGGCUUAACCUGGGAAUGGCAUUCAAGCUGGUUAGCUAGAGUCUUGUAGAGGGGGUAGAAUUCCAUGUGUAGCGGUGAAAUGCGUAGAGAUGUGGAGGAAUACCGGUGGCGAAGGCGGCCCCUGGGACAAAGGCUGACGCUCAUGUGCGAAAGCGUGGGGAGCAAACGAGGGAUUAGAU
rnacentral:rRNA from 1 species